UACGUAGGCAGCGAGCGUUGUUCGGAAUUACUGGGCGUAAAGAGUGUGUAGGCGGUGCUCUAAGUUCGGUGUGAAAUCUCCCGCUUAACUGGGAGGGUGCGCCGGAAACUGGAGUGCUCGAGCGUGGGAGAGGAAAGCGGAAUUCCUGGUGUAGCGGUGAAAUGCGUAGAUAUCAGGAGGAACACCUGCGGUGUAGACGGCUUUCUGGACCAUUGCUGACGCUGGAGAACACGAAAGCCGUGGGUAGCAAACAGG
rnacentral:rRNA from 1 species